rnacentral:rRNA from 1 species
CGGACGGGUGAGUAACACGUGGAUAACCUACCUAUAAGACUGGGAUAACUUCGGGAAACCGGAGCUAAUACCGGAUAAUAUAUUGAACCGCAUGGUUCAAUAGUGAAAGACGGUUUUGCUGUCACUCAUAGAUGGAUCCGCGCCGCAUUAGCUAGUUGGUAAGGUAACGGCUUACCAAGGCAACGAUGCGUAGCCGACCUGAGAGGGUGAUCGGCCACACUGGAACUGAGACACGGUCCAG